UCCGAUCGAGGGGUCAUCAAUUUGUCCAAUCACCUAAAUCGAUUGAGGUGCUCAUAUUAUGAAGGUAAGAACACCUCCUUUUCCCCCCCUUCUUCCACCUCUUUUUCCCCCUUCUUCAAUCUAAAUCGAUUGAGGUUUCCAUCCUAAUUUACUGAUAGAAGAAAUACCCACUGGUAGUGAUGCUUUUGUCUCUCUCCCUCCUCAAUCCCAAGUUAAAAGCUCAAAUUAUUUUGACUUAAUGAAGCAAAUAAACCAACAAGAAUCUUCCAAAUUGUUUCAGAAAGGAACUAUUGCAGAAACUCCUGCAGAUUCUGUUUAAACAAUUGAAAGAAAACCAUCAAAAAAUUCCGCAAAAAUCCUUGGUUGUUGAAAGAGAAAUUGAAAAUUUCAGGUCAAUAAUUUCACAGACGGUCCAGGAAGACACCCACGAUGAGGGAAAUGAGAAAAGAAACUAAAUUUGAAGGAAGUAGAAAAUGUAGAGUCCGUUUGUAUAAGGAUGAAAGGGGCUUCAGCCCUGCACACGAACUUAUGAUUAAAAAAAGCUUUUAGCUCAUUUAGUUCUAUAGAUCUCAGACCAGUCUUUGUGGAUUAGAGAGGGAUUCUUGCUUAGUGGAUUCUAGGUGGAUUACUGUGGGAUUCAGCAUAGGAUCAGGUGGGAUUACUAGUUCAUAUUCUUCUUUUCAUCUCUCCAUCGAUCAGAUGGUGACCACUCAAUCAAAAGCUUACCAGUCCACAUCGGCAAGGAUGGCAAACAGCCAACCAAUGAGAAGAGCCACUGACCACUAUAUAAAGAAGUCUUAAACUGAUUUUUAGGUUUCUUAUCUGUGAUUUGCAGGUUCUAACUGAGUGAGAAACUUUAUAAAGAUUAGCAGAACACUCAUAGAUGAGCACUUUGGAAAUUAGCCGAACGACGCUUUCAGGCCUCCACAUCUGUUUUGGUUGAAAAUCCCAAUAGGGAUCAUAACACUCAGAACACUUUGAGCUCUGCCCACUCACCCUUCAAAUUUUGUUAGAAUAUUGACUUAGGCAUCAGUGCCUUCUUCCCGAGGUUACCCUCCAGGCCAGAUUCUUAUCUGUGAUUUACAGGUUGUAACUGAGUGGGAAACUUCAUCAACAUUAGCCAAACACUUGAAGACGGGCACUUUGAAAAUUAGCCGAAUGAUGCUUUUAGCUCUCCACAUCUGUCUUGCCUGAAAAUCCCAACAGAUAUGUUUCUUACCGAUUGUUAAUACAAAUUCAAUACAUUUAAAUGUAAGUUUACGUGUCGACUUCUUAAGUUUUGUGGCUCUUAGUCAUUUAUCCCUACAGGGGUUAUAUACCUACACGCACUUGAUCAAUAUAGGA